UGGGCCGGGAAGUUGAAACGUCGCGCGCGCGCUGCGCGUCCCUUCAGAGGCCCUUUUCCAGCGUUCCAGGCAGCGGCCGGUCGUGGGGGAGGACCGAGGUGAGGCGCCGGCGAGGUGGGAAGGCAGGGGAGGCGUCGGCGCGGCAAGGGGAGGAGGGAAGAGAGAGAAAAGAGAGAGAGAAGGAAGAGAGGUCGACGCGCGCGGGGAAGGAAAGAAGAAAAAGGAAAAGGCCGGUCCGAUUCGACCG
rnacentral:misc_RNA from 1 species